rnacentral:rRNA from 1 species
UAGGUGGCAAUCGUUGUCCGGAUUUACUGGGCGUAAAGGGAGUGUAGGCGGAUACUUAAGUCAGAUGUGAAAUACCCGGGCUCAACUUGGGUGCUGCAUUUGAAACUGGGUGUCUAGAGUGCAGGAGAGGAAAGUGGAAUUCCUAGUGUAGCGGUGAAAUGCGUAGAGAUUAGGAAGAACACCAGUGGCGAAGGCGACUUUCUGGACUGUAACUGACGCUGAGGCUCGAAAGCGUGGGGAGCAAACAGGA